CGGGGGGAGCAAGCGUUGUUCGGAUUUACUGGGCGUAAAGGGCGCGUAGGCGGCCACCGCAAGUCGACUGUGAAAUCUCCGGGCUUAACCCGGAAAGGUCAGCCGAUACUGCGGGGCUAGAGUGCAGAAGGGGCAACUGGAAUUCUCGGUGUAGCGGUGAAAUGCGUAGAUAUCGAGAGGAACACCUGCGGCGAAGGCGGGUUGCUGGGCUGACACUGACGCUGAGGCGCGAAAGCUAGGGGAGCGAACGGGAUUAGAUACCCCGGUAGUCCUAGCCUUAAACGAUGAAUGCUUGGUGUCUGGGGUUUUAUAGGUCCCCGGGUGCCGUCGCUAACGCUUUAAGCAUUCCGCCUGGGGAGUACGGUCGCAAGACUGA
rnacentral:rRNA from 1 species